UCCCUAAUGAUGUGACUGGCCAGGU
rnacentral:piRNA from 1 species